UGCACUUAUCUAUAGUUUUCUUCACGUAGAAAAUGAAGAUCAGAGCCAUACAGUUGGAUGGCUUUCUUGGAAUCUUAUUUUUUGAGAACUUUCAUCCUCGUAUUUAUGCUCUGGUAUGAUAAAUUCUUUAACUGGCCAAGGUGGUUCCACAUACACAGCCACAUGGGGACUGUGAGUAGACUCGGUCUUUGGUAACUGCAUCUUCUACAGGGCAGAAUGAGAGCCUAAAGUACACAUGAAAUACAGCAGAGGAAAAAAAAAAGAAAAUGGCAUGUCAUCAUAUUUUAAUUUCCCCAAUCACUCAAGUCAUCUUCCUGGUGUUACCUGGUGGAGUUGGAUCUGUUUCUUCCCAUGCAGAAAGUGAAACUUGGGUAUGAUGAAUCCACUCAAGUACAGCCUGACAAAGGUGAAAAGCUUCUAAGGAUGGCAGAAUGGUUGUGAAGCAGCUUUGCAGUCUGAUGGUUUUGUGUGCAAGAGGUUCACCCACCAAGGAGCACAGGCAGCUGAAGAGAUGAAUAACUUCAGCUAAGAGAAAAUAUGGGCAGAUGGUAAUUUACUCAAUGUGCUUGGGACACGUUAGCAUCACAUUGAGGGGGUUCUGUUUGUAUAAUUUCUGCUCUCAUUAAGACUUGAUAGACUUUUUCUUCCCCUAUGCAUUUAAAUUUUUCUGCUCCUGUGUAUUUCAAGACAUAGUGACAAAAAAAGUAGAAAGUGUCGUGCAGUGGAAAACACCGGGGAUGAUUUAAUUGGUACGGUUUCUCAGGACCAGUUUAGAAUAGGUUUUGAUACCAGUUACUCUCCUGCUACCUUAACAAAAUUAUCACCCCGAGGGGGGAUUUUUGGUCUUCCUGAGAAAGAAAAUUUCCUCUCUGCAUUUCAAUGAAAAGCAUCCAGCCCUUUCUCUGCCCUCAAGCUGUUUCCUGUGGAAACCCUCAGAAUUUCAUUUUCUUUUUGAACCAGCUAUAUUUGCAUUUCACUGAGCCCUCUGAGGCAUCUUUUUUUGUAAGGGUGUGAGAGGGCUGUGCCGAGGAGGACAUGCUGGGGUGCACAUCUGGAGUUGUCUGACAGAGCCAGGACCUAGUCCCUUGCAGCACAAGCACAAUGAUAACAGCAGUGUCAGCCUUUCUCCCAGCCUGUGGUUCCUGCGGCAGCUGUCUUUCCAUGCAGGCCAUGUAUGUGCAGGAAUGGAUGCAGAGGUAAUCACACAGGGCUAUUACCCUGGGCUGUGACAGAUAUGGAGAACUCAGGCUUGCAGUACCCUGCAGUUUCUGCAUGGACAAGAAAACACUUGGAGCACUCUAAUGUUUAAAACCCCCAAUCCUGUUUAGGAGGUCAGGAUGCCAGAACAACUGGAGUGCCUGAUGGACCUGAGCCUAAGUGUGAGGGCCUGCAGCAUGAACAUAUAUUUAGCAAGGUGAAUUCUGACCAGCAUCCUUGACUCAGGUUUUCAGUCUACUGUGCCAUCUGUCUGUAUGCACUGGAUAAACAGAUUUUCUAUCCCUCAUGCAGCUCUAAGAUGGAUUGGCUUUCAGUAAAUUGAAAAAAAAUAGCUGCCCUUGGGCAUGGUGAGAUUUAGUGAGGUAAAAUCAUAUCCAUGAUUGUUUGUGCUGAAGGAAAUCCCUAAGUGACACAGGGGCGGAAGGAGCAGAAUCAACCUGAGCUUUUUCUUUAAUAUAUCUGGCUGGCACAUGCUGGCAUUGUGAAAAGCC